rnacentral:lncRNA from 1 species
GGUGAAUUGGAAACUCGCAGUGCCAGGAAGUGCUUCCACAGGCUUAAUGCAUCUCUGCUCCUCUUUUUUCAUAAAAAUUCAAACAGUGUUUAGACGGGGGAUGCUGAGAGAGAAGCCGGUUUGCUGGGAGGUGCGAGCCCAGAGCACACGCUCCACCUAGACUGCGGGCAGUGCCCCACCAUGAGGAGCUCAGCAGUUUCUUCACGUGGUGUUUUCCACCAUGCAAAAACAUCCAAGAU